rnacentral:lncRNA from 1 species
CAUUUAUGAGUACUAAAGGUCCAUAAAUAAGUCGUGUCUUACCACAGGACCAAAAUCACUGACAAUUCCCUCACAAAUCCCAGAGAACACACUGAAAUAGGAUCACUCUGAAGUGAUGACCAAUACCUUUUAGAAAAAUGACUUUUAUGAAGGAAUGAAUGAGAGAAAUCAGAACCUUUUCAGUAGGUUUUAUUGGUGCCAGGAAUAUUUCAGGACCUAUGCAGAUGACAGUCAGUGUGACUGCUAUCACUGAGAUGAGCUGGGUUUUCUGAGGUUUUCCUUUCUCCAGCAGGGCAGAGCUUUCCCACAGAUCCUCUGAGACAUCUGCAUGAGGCUGAAGAUGUCUUACUACCCUAGCACACCAGGUAAUUCUACCUUUGGGACCCUUCACAAAAUCAUACUUUUUACCCGUGCUCACCGAGGAAAAAAAUAACAAGAAGUUUAUGCUAAAAGCUCUUUCAGCAAAGCCUUAUACUGAGUCUGAGUUAGAGGUGCUCUAUGCCAGAAGAAACAAUACCACACACCAUCUUCCCUGCACUCAGCAUGAACCUCCUACUUCAACAGUGAGUAAAUUAAAAUAAAUGGGGAAAUGCAGAGAAGAAAAGUUGUAACACGUG